rnacentral:rRNA from 1 species
UCCCUUAGAGUUUGAUCAUGGCUCAGAACGAACGCUGGCGGCAGGCUUAACACAUGCAAGUCGAACGCAUCUUUCGGGGUGAGUGGCAGACGGGUGAGUAACGCGUGGGAAUCUACCCAUCUCUACGGGAUAGCUCCGGGAAACUGGAGAUAAUACCGUAUACGUCCUCCGGGAGAAAGAUUUAUCGGGGAUGGAUGAGCCCGCGUUGGAUUAGCUAGUUGGUGGGGUAAUGGCCUACCAAGGCGACGAUCCAUAGCUGGUCUAAGAGGAUGAUCAGCCACAUUGGGACUGAGACACGGCCCAAACUCCUACGGGAGGCAGCAGUGGGGAAUAUUGGACAAUGGGCGGAAGCCUGAUCCAGCCAUGCCGCGUGCAGGAAGACGGUCCUAUGGAUUGUAAACUGCUUUUGUACGGGAAGAACAGGGGCCACGUGUGGCCCUCUGACGGUACCGUAAGAAUAAGGAUCGGCUAACUCCGUGCCAGCAGCCGCGGUAAUACGGAGGAUCCGAGCGUUAUCCGGAAUCAUUGGGUUUAAAGGGUCCGUAGGCGGGCCGUUAAGUCAGGGGUGAAAGUCUGCAGCUCAACUGUAGAACUGCCCUUGAUACUGACGGCCUUGAGUUGCGGUGAAGUGGCCGGAAUAUGUAGUGUAGCGGUGAAAUGCAUAGAUAUUACAUAGAACACCGAUUGCGAAGGCAGGCCACUAACCGCACACUGACGCUGAUGGACGAAAGCGUGGGGAGCGAACAGGAUUAGAUACCCUGGUAGUCCACGCCGUAAACGAUGGAUACUAGCUGUCCGUCCGCCCCAGGCGGAUGGGCGGCCAAGCGAAAGUGAUAAGUAUCCCACCUGGGGAGUACGUCCGCAAGGAUGAAACUCAAAGGAAUUGACGGGGGCCCGCACAAGCGGUGGAGCAUGUGGUUUAAUUCGAUGAUACGCGAGGAACCUUACCAGGGCUUGAAUGGGGGGCGACAGGCGCAGAGAUGUGCCCUUCUUCGGACGCCCUUCAAGGUGCUGCAUGGUUGUCGUCAGCUCGUGCCGUGAGGUGUCAGGUUAAGUCCUAUAACGAGCGCAACCCCUGUGGCCAGUUGCCAGCGGGCAAUGCCGGGAACUCUGGCCAGACUGCCGGUGCAAACCGCGAGGAAGGUGGGGAUGACGUCAAAUCAUCACGGCCCUUACGCCCUGGGCCACACACGUGCUACAAUGGCC